GCCUGGCUGGCUCAGUCGGUAGAGCAUGAGACUCUUGAUCUCAGGGUUGUGAGUCCAAGCCCCACAUUAGGUG
rnacentral:tRNA from 1 species